GACGAACGCUGGCGGCGUGCCUAAUACAUGCAAGUCGAACGCACUCUCGUUUAGAUUGAAGGAGCUUGCUCCUGAUUGAUAAACAUUUGAGUGAGUGGCGGACGGGUGAGUAACACGUGGGUAACCUGCCCUAAAGUGGGGGAUAACAUUUGGAAACAGAUGCUAAUACCGCAUAAAACCUAACACCGCAUGGUGUAGGGUUGAAAGAUGGUUUCGGCUAUCACUUUAGGAUGGACCCGCGGUGCAUUAGUUAGUUGGUGAGGUAAAGGCUCACCAAGACCGUGAUGCAUAGCCGACCUGAGAGGGUAAUCGGCCACACUGGGACUGAGACACGGCCCAGACUCCUACGGGAGGCAGCAGUAGGGAAUCUUCCACAAUGGACGAAAGUCUGAUGGAGCAACGCCGCGUGAGUGAAGAAGGUUUCGGAUCGUAAAACUCUGUUGUUGGUAGAAGAAUGUAUCUGAUAGUAACUGAUCAGGUAGUGACGGUAUCCAACCAGAAA
rnacentral:rRNA from 1 species